CAAAAACUACAAGAGGUCAAUCAGUUUUUGCAAGCACAGACAGCCUACCACGACACAUUAGAAGAAAUCAGAAGCAGUCAUUUUGACUCCCUGAAAAAACAGUUAGACGACAGAACUAGAGAUCUUGAAUGUGCACUGGGAAGGACAAAAAGCAACCAACAAGAAAGACCUUUUCAAAAAGAAUCCAGACAGCCAGCAGUGGACAAGUACAAAGAGCUGUACCUGCAGGAAG